rnacentral:lncRNA from 10 species
GUGAGGAAGCCCAGGCCACAUGGAGAGGCCAUGCCAUGUGUACAUGUUCCAGCUGACAGCCCCAGAGAAGGACACAGUGCACAGCCAGGAAUAAUUUCCAAAUUUGGCCAGUAUGUCUUUGCUCAAGCAUCCAAACAUCUGACCUCAGUGACAGUGUUCAAGCAGUUGGAAUCUGAGCAAACUGCCAUCCAUCUUAUCUGAUUUCUCAAACAAGUCCACCUCUUGCCCAAGGAGCAUCACCAGUAGAAGCUGAAGAGGGAUUUGUGCUGUGUGCUGUGAAGUGUCAUCUGAGGUCAAUGUGUUGUCAUUGAUGGCUUGUGCAGGAAUGUCAAGAUUCAGCAUGUGACUUGAGCCCUGCAGCCUACACGCUCUAUAAGGCUCGUGGCUCAAGAGAUGAUUCCUCAGAGGGCUGAUAAUGAAAAAAGCAAACCUCCAUUUGCGUAAAAAAACACAUAAAUCUGCACUCUACUUUUAAUUACACUUUCUCUUACUUUUUUUGCCCAAUGAUAGUUUAAAAAUUUAUAGCAUAAUUUUUUGCCUUUACCACCAAUUUUUCUAAAUGCAAUAUUGUAUCAUUUUCUGUAUUUUAAAGGGAUAAAGCAAAAAUACAAAAACAAAAAAAAACAUAUAUUCCCCAAAUGAUUAAGGUCCUAUGCUGGGUUUUUUUUUUUUUUUAACUCUGAUUCAUUGAAGAGAGUCAAGUCCUUCUCACCUGUAUUAUUUUAGCACCCUGUGUUACUUUCUGGAAGUAUUUAUCACAACAGUAAUGGAUUUGGGUUAAAAAUCUGCAACCCUGCUAGAACAAAGACAACAUAAGACCAGGGAAAGACAGCAUCUAUCUAGACCAGCUUGACCUCCCCAGAGCAUAGCACAGGUUCUUCUUACACAAG